rnacentral:rRNA from 2 species
CAUGAAGUCGGAAUCGCUAGUAAUCGUGGAUCAGAAUGCCACGGUGAAUACGUUCCCGGGCCUUGUACACACCGCCCGUCACACCAUGGGAGUGGGUUGCAAAAGAAGUAGGUAGCUUAACCUUCGGGAGGGCGCUUACCACUUUGUGAUUCAUGACUGGGGUGAAGUCGUAACAAGGUAACCGUAGGGGAACCUGCGGUUGGAUCACCUCCUUA